ensembl:lncRNA
GAGAUUUCUAUGUUCCUGAGGCCUUCUAGGGGUCUUUGAUGCUUGCUGGAGGAGAAGGCCUCUUUUGUCUCUGAUAGCCUUAAGGCAGAUCUAGGAAAAUGAAUCACAUUACCACCAAGGGAAGGAAAGCCUUUGUUGGAGGAGACUGCUAGUCUGCUACUUAAGAAGGGGAUUUAAUUUUCCCCUCCAGGCUUUUUGGCCAGCCCACUACAGUUGCCCUUGUGGAACUCUGAUAUCAUAGCAUGCAAAGGAUAGCAAACAAGAAAGAGCAAUUAGCCAUUAAUCAUACUCAUCUUGCAUUGGAUGGACAGACCAUUUAAAAUGCUGUAUGUAUUCAGUAAAGGAGCAAGACUAGCUUGUGUGGG